UGGCUCAUCUAGUGUGAGGUCUACAGC
rnacentral:piRNA from 1 species